GCCCUUUAAGAUGGCAUUCGUAUGUGUGUUUAUACAAGAAAUCAAUAGGGCUAUAUCAGCUUAGGUUAGUUUUAAAGUCCUUUUAGAGCGAAUCCUCAAAUCAUCAAAUCAAACGCUUUUUGACACUUCCGAGCCCAUAAAUUAUAUUUAUUCCUGUUUAGCAUUAAGAGCUAUCAUCAUAAAACUUGAUAUGGGUUCGUCUUUCUGUUGCAGGCAGUAUUUGUGUAUAUUGUAAACGGCCGGAACGGACCACUAUAUCAUAUAGCUGCCCUAGGAAUAAUUGAACGAAAAAGUUGCAUAGCUUUAUGACGUCUUUACAAAAUCUUAUCAACAUCGCACCACUAGCUAUAUGCUAAGCUCUAUCGGAAGAAUCGGUUGACAGACUAACUAUAAGUUGCGCCUGGUCGAACAGCCGAACAGCCAAACUGCCGAAGCCGGAACCGGCCAGCCUCGUCGUCAUAUGACACCUUGGACAACAAAUCGACUUGUAAUUGUCGCAAUUAAUAAGCAUGAAAAUAAUAGAGAACACAACUAGUUUAUAUCCAUUAGCAUUUAAGCAACUGCUGCGAGCAUACGAUGGAUAUAUGCUGAAAGAGUUAAUGCUAAAAGUAACCAUGGAGGACAUAAGUGUAUUGAUGAGUUUUAAACUUCUUGAAGGAUUGCUCCGCUAUAAACUGAACAUGGAGAGAGUUGGUGGCUAAAGUAACCGCGGAGGUAAGAGUGUACUGAUAAGAUCUAAACUUCUUCAAGGCUAUAAACUGAACAUGGAUAUAUGUUGUUAGAGCUGGUGACCAAAGUAACCAUGGAGGAUACAAGUAAGAUCUACAAGAUCUAAACUUCUAAAAGCCUUGCUCAGUAAGCUAUUAAGUGAACAUGGAUGGCACAUUGGAUUCAAUUGAAGUGACCAUUGAUGAUGCAAAUUUUAAGCAAACACUCGAAAAUAUUAUUUGAGAUAAUAUCGUAUUCAUGAUAUUGUAAGCAGAGAGAUUAAAAUGAGCACAUGGAGGACAUGUAUCUUACGAAAACUAUUGAAACCAUGUAGGAGAACGCGUUCGCUGCGAUAAAAGUGACCUUGGAGAACGCUGGAUUCAGCGUGAAAAAUCCUUCUGUGUACUUGAGUAUUAGCAAAACAGUUGAAAAUAUUAUUUAGAUGCACUCAGUGAAAAGUAAAGUGACAUUAAGGACACACUUGUGAAGAAAAGUGUUGGCAACAUGAUUAACUAAAGUAACCAUGAAGGACAAAUGAAAACUGUGAAGAAUGCUAAUGAAAAAUGAAGUUUUGUCUUCUUAAGCUUAGACUCGUCUGACAUAGCUGAGUUUGGCUAAGAAAUAAUGCGCCAAAGAAAUCGAAAGCCGUGCAGGCAAUAAGCCGCACAUCCAGAGCUCAGCUACAGGUAGUUAAAAGAUUGCCAGCGACUUGGCCAAGGAACAUGCAGCGCCAGAAAUGGUCAAAUGCGCCAAGAAGUGUAGUUAAAAAGAUUGCUUUUGCAUAUUUCUUUGGGCAAAUAUCUGCUGGAUGCAUGUUUGUCGGGCGAAGGCGGCGCCAGCGAUCGUAACAAGGGCAACGUUAACAAUAAUAAUAAACAUUUUGAAAAAAAUGUUAGCCACAAUGGCAAAGAGCAAUCAAAUGAAGUUCUUGAAGGACUUGAGUAGAAAACGUCCGUCAGACUUUGCAGGGGGACCUCAUCCACUGCUUGGCCAAGUGUGUCCAGAGCUGCGUGAAAUUGUCACAGGGAAAGUGAGUCGAAAGUAAGCGUGAUGACAUUACCUUGAGGGUAGUUAAUCCCAUUUAUGGUUACACUUUAUGCGAGUACUCGUAACGUGUUGAAUUCUUAAGCUCAGCUCUGACUUAAUUGCAGUUUAUUUAAACUUAACCAGUUCCACCUUGUGCUUCAAAUUCACGCUGCGAAUGCCAUGUCCAAGACAAAUGUGAUUUGUCAAUCAUUGGGACAACUUGUGAAUGUGAGCUGCAAAUUAAACUUCAGCCCUCGCAACUUUAAACUGUGACACUAUCACUUUUCCAUAAGCCAAUUUGUCAUCCAACCAGUCAACAACUGGGUCAGCACAUGUCACAAAAUUUACGAAAAGUCGCCAUGCAACGACUGCCCAAGCUCCAAAAGCUAGGACUCUGAUUUUUUACAGUAGUUAGCUUAUGUGAUGUAAAAGCAGACCGGAUUUUGGGCACAUUUUGAAGUGUUAUAUAAAUCUCUUCGUUCAAGCAACUUAAAACUUAUUUUGAAAUCUCUAUAUACAAAUUAAUUUAAAUGGGUCAACGAAUUUUGAAAAUCUAUCCCUAUGUUCGGAAAAUGUGCGAUAAACAGUUGCAUGCAACUUGGCUGUUUCUUAUCACAUCACCUUUCUAUGUGAUUCUCAUUAAUUCAGUGAUGUCCUAUAAAGUCUUUUAAACUUCUAUCUAUAGUAUAGAUAUAUACUAUAUAC